GCGCCCGUAGCUCAGAGGAUAGAGCAACGGCCUUCUAAGCCGUCGGUCGCCCGUUCGAAUCGGGCCGGGCGCGCCA
rnacentral:tRNA from 1 species